CCCACCUUUUAACCUAUUCCGACUCUCACCUUUACGAGUGAGACUUCACGCUGAAGAGUAAAAAUAACCGGUUGUUAGCUCAACAGCAUCCCUUUCUCACGCAGGGGUCGAAGCUGCAGCUUUCCAGUACGACCUAAUGCCAUGAUGAAAGAGCCAUCUCAGAAGUCUUCCAGAGUUCUCCGCUGGCCAGAGUACAUAACAAACGAGGGUUGCCAAGUCGUGUUUCAUAUAUGAGGUUUCGGUGCAAAAGCUAGAGCUGGCAGAUGUGUGCUUGGGUAGUACAAGCAACCUAAGCACUUGAGCUGUGUAGAGGUAUGCACUACUUACGAACCCGUCUACACCACACCCAUGACGACGAUCCUCCAGUGUUCUUCCGUUCAAGCCCUCUCUACCGCCCUACCACUCACUGCCUUACUAUCCCGCAAAACUGCUCAUGAAAGGCUGUUUCUAUCCGGUGGGUGGUGGCACACUGAUACUGGCUAUGGUAUCCAGCGGCAUUGGCCCCUUGUCUCUUCCCCGUCCCGUUUGUUUCUAAAGAGGGGGGACCCUGAAACAUCCCGUCCACUUUGUCCCUCACCCUCAUUCGUCUAAAUCUUCUUCUGAGGGAGGGGACGGGGGGUUUUCCAAGUGAGAGGAAAUGUGGUCAAGCGGGUUUCCCCAUCCUUGG